rnacentral:rRNA from 1 species
UACGAAGGGGGCUAGCGUUGUUCGGAAUUACUGGGCGUAAAGGGCGCGUAGGCGGUACUUCAAGUCAGGCGUGAAAUCCCCGGGCUCAACCUGGGAACUGCAUUUGUGACUGUAUAGCUAGAGUACGGUAGAGGGGGAUGGAAUUCCGCGUGUAGCAGUGAAAUGCGUAGAUAUGCGGAGGAACACCGAUGGCGAAGGCAAUCCCCUGGACCUGUACUGACGCUCAUGCACGAAAGCUGGGGGAGCAAACGGG